rnacentral:rRNA from 1 species
CUCGUAGGUGGUUCGGUAAGUCGGAUGUGAAAUCUCCAGGCUCAACCUGGAGGGGUCAUUCGAUACUGCCGUGACUAGAGUUCGGUAGGGGAGUGUGGAAUUCCUGGUGGAGCGGUGAAAUGCGCAGAUAUCAGGAGGAACACCCGUAGCGAAGGCGGCACUCUGGGCCGAUACUGACACUGAGGAGCGAAAGCGUGGGGAGCGAACAGGAUUAGAUACCCUGGUAGUCCACGCCGUAAACGUUGGGCACUAGGUGUGGGGUUCUAUCGACGGAUUCCGUGCCGUAGCUAACGCAUUAAGUGCCCCGCCUGGGGAGUACGGCCGCAAGGCUAAA